ACGAACGCUGGCGGCGUGCUUGACACAUGCAAGUCGAACGAUGAAGCGGGUGCUUGCACUCGUGGAUUAGUGGCGAACGGGCGAGUAACACGUGAGUAACCUGUCCUUUUCUUUGGGAUAACGGCUGGAAACGGCUGCUAAUACUGGAUAUUCAGGCUGCAUCGCAUGGUGUGGUUUGGAAAGGUUUUUUCUGGGAUUGGGUGGGCUCGCGGCCUAUCAGCUUGUUGGUGGGGUGAUGGCUUACCAAGGCUUUGACGGGUAGCCGGCCUGAGAGGGUGGUCGGUCGCACUGGGACUGAGAUACGGCCCAGACUCCUACGGGAGGCAGCAGUGGGGAAUAUUGCACAAUGGACGAAAGUUUGAUGCAGCGACGCCGCGUGGAGGGUGUAGGCCUUCGGGUUGUGAACUCCUUUUUCUCGCGAAAAAGGCACAGUUUUGGCUGUGUUGAUGGUAGUGGGGGAAGAAGCGCCGGCUAACUACGUG
rnacentral:rRNA from 1 species